rnacentral:sRNA from 1 species
GCUGGGAGUAGUGGCAUAGGCCUGUAAUCCCAACGACUUGGGAAGCUGAGACAGGAGGAUCGCAAGUUCAAAACCAGCCUUGGCAACUUAGCAAGACCCUGUCUCAA